rnacentral:rRNA from 1 species
UACGGAGGGUGCGAGCGUUAAUCGGAAUUACUGGGCGUAAAGGGUGCGUAGGUGGUAUUGUAAGUUAUCUGUGAAAUUCCUGGGCUUAACCUGGGGUGGUCAGAUAAAACUGCGGUACUCGAGUAUAGGAGAGGGUAGUGGAAUUUCCGGUGUAGCGGUGAAAUGCGUAGAGAUCGGAAGGAACACCAGUGGCGAAGGCGGCUACCUGGCCUGAUACUGACACUGAGGCACGAAAGCGUGGGGAGCAAACAGG